GGCAAAAUACUCGAGUCACUUUGGAUACUAGUAAUGACGAAAGAAAAUUUGGCACGUUAUUAAAUCCGAAGGCUUAGAUUGUAAUCACUAGACUGUGGACUUUAUAAACAUAUGCUAAAGGUAGCAAGAAUAUAUGCACUUACACAAAAUAGAAUGGUAAUGUUAUACGAAUUUAAAUAAGAGGAAUUGUUGGUCACAAGUGGUCUUUAAAAACGAAAGCUAUGAAUUUUCUUAGGGGUGGUUUCUGAUCCACGUCGAUGAGAAAGGAUGAACCUUCCUAAAAAUAUUCACCAAUCUAUGAAAUAUGUCUUACACUUUAUAAAUAUUUUCCCUUAAAUACAUUAUAAAGUCCGUAGUCUAUUAAUUCUUCUCAAACAUACAACGACUCAACAAGCAAUUUAUUAUCGCGUUCAGAGAUUUGCCCAUCUCUGUCGUCUACCAGAGACCUAGCAUGCUCCAUCGGUCUGUCGUGCGCUCUGGGCGAACGUCAAGCUGAACUGCCAAGAACAAUAAGUCGAAUAUUAUUGUCUGCAGGCGAUCUCUUGCAUCGAUUUCGCAGUGUACGGUUUCGUAACGAGUUAAUCUGGCGUUAACACGAGGACGGUCACGUGUCCGUUUAGACGAUGCGUACGUAUCCACCUGUUUCGUUGACGUCAGAUUGCAAACAGCUAUUGGAAAAACAUCCAACCUCUACCAACCGAGGGUUUAAUCACGCGUUACACCUUCCUAACGAUCAUUGGGACUGUCCAAUGAUUCACGCCGCGAAGGGAACAGUUUGUUAGUCGACGACUAGUAAACCGUGAAAGCGGCCAUCACCCAACUACUCCUCGUUAUUUUGCCCAGGUUUUUUUUAGCAGUCACACAAGCUGAAAACGAAACGGAUAGUCGUGUGUUUGUGUAUAUAAUGUGUGCGUGGGUGAGUGUGUGUGUGUGUUUGCUGGACGGACGGUCGAAAGUCAUCGCCUCGGGAACGAAGUCGACCUAGUCAUUUUAGGUUUUUCAUGGACUCUGGAGGAAGAAUUGCGCAUAUACUCGUUUGAUGGCUUCGACUUCAGAUUUUUUGGGGGACUCUUUAGUAAAGCUGUGGAAGAGAUUAAUCUAUAAAAAAAAUAAGGGAAUUACGUUAAAUUAAGGAAGCAAGAGAGAAGAAAGAAAAAUUGUUUAUCGAGGUGUGAACAAAUCGAAGAGAACUACAAUCUGGGAGUUCGAUGUAAGUUCAAUUUAAAUAAAACUUACUGUCCCAAAAUAAUUAAAAUAAUAUAAUGUAAAUAAAUGACUACAUUUUGGCUUCAUACUGAACCUUCGAGAGAAAAGCAGCGGGGAAACAAUGAAGUUUCUUCUUGGAAAAAGUUUGGGCGCGGAUGUUCGACCUGGAAAGGAUCAGAGGCCCCAAGCAGACGUUCUCGAGUCUCUGGUGUCGUCGAUCGUUACUUGAAAUGGAAAAUUAUAUUAACCCAGUUACGACUGCCAUCUUUCCGGACGGAUUUAGAACUUCUAUUAAAUAAAAUUUGCUUAAUACAGUGGAUUAUCCGAUAACGUCAUUCCAAGUAUUUUACACUUAUGUAUAGACACUUCAAUGACAAGAAAUUAUUCAAUUCUGUGACGAUUUAUAAAACUGUAUAAUGUCCACUUCCAAAAGAAGACUCUGUUCUGCUUUUAGGAAUCGCGAUAAAAAUAUUUUUUUUUUUAAUUUGUGUCCUAUCUGGGUGAAUAUAUCUCCAGUUGGUGGCCUAACAGGAAGUAUCGACGGGUGCUGGGGUGAUAAGAAAACCCGUUUCUUUCUCUUGGGCCUGUUUAGUCUGCAAUGAACGUGAACAGGUGUAGACAGUCGCCAGUUAGAGACGAUGGGUCUGAUUAGAUCUUGGAUCUAAUUUUUGUUCGAAGCGGGAAACCUUUGGAGACUGGUGGAAAUUAGUUUCGUUUGAGUCGAGAGCGAGUUCCAUAGCAUUUAUCGUUCAAAAUAAAGACAUUGAUACGCAAAUGUUGGCGAAGUUGUUGAUUUCCGAGUUGGUAAUUGCCGAAUUACCCUACAAAAACUAAUUUAACGACAGCCACCAUUUACCUUUACGAAGACUGGAUUAUACUAAGAUUAGGGUGACUGUUACACUAAAGGAGAAGCCACGUACGCGACAGGGAGGUUACAGCGAAAACUUUCCCGAUUAAAUUCUCGAAACGUCCGUUCGGCCGCGAAUAGGAAUCGCAUUAAGGGCAGCUCCGAGGACUUUUAUAGUUGGCGAUAAAAAAAUUUACGACCAGGGCACGUGACGUCCCAGAACGAAGAUAAAUUUCUUGUUAGCGUACGAGUGCGCGUGUGUCACGCGCUCCCGAAUGGGAUAAGGGUCUCCAAUUGCCCAUGAGAUACCCUAAUUGCUCGGAGUUUUCAGCGAAAAUGAAGCCUCUGACGACGAAUUUGCUGGCACUCUUACGGAAUGAAUAUUAUUGGGAACGAAGCCAUUUAGUGAAUCGUAAACGACUCCUUUAAAAGUGUUCGAUUUUCCUGUAAUAAAAAAAAAAAAUCAUAUAAACUUGCGUGCAACUUAGUUGUCUCGAUCAAACAUAUUUCCACCAUUCUCGUGAGUUCUCCCGGACAUCAAAUUAACUCUUUCGAUAUUUCGUGAGGCUUCCGCGUGCGGAGAACACGCGUGGACAUGUGCACAGUAUCGAAAGGAUGGGAAAUCGAUCUCCUACGUUCGCCACGUUCAUCAUCCACGAAUAGAAGACCGCGAACAGAGAGUAGCGUGCACUUGCGCCCUUUCAUUGCUGGAGGAACGAGUAUUUGGUAAUUGAGAGGUGUGGAACCACUCGAAUUAAACGAAUAUAUUCCAUUAACCCUCUAUAGAACACAGAGUGAAAGACAUGAUCUACCGUAAUAAAUUGUAAGAAAUAAUUGUCAUGAACAGAUCCCAUAUUGACACUAUUGUUUCAACCCCUUACGAUUGAAAUUAUUAUUAGCCUCUGAGGGAAUUCGGUAAUAGACCACUGGUAUGAAUGAAUGAAAAGCUUUUGAAUUUAUUCACCCUUAAAUGAAAAAUUGUAACUAGUAGCUGUUGUGAAUAGAUUGCUCGGUGGUCAAAGCAUGGACUCAGACUUUAAAAAUAUAGAACAGUUUCAAAGUAUAUCAAAGAACCAAUAAUUUCUCCCCGCUAUAGGGAAUCCAUCAAUUUCCUCCCUCGAGAGAGUCCAAGCUAAUAUUAUCAAUGACAAAUCGAACGGUAUCAGUCCACGUCCGAGGCAUCUGCGGACAGCUGAGCUUUCAGCAACGGGCCAAACACACGCACACACACCCAGGCCCUCAAACUUCUCCAGCGUCUUCAGCAAUGAAAGGGGUCAAAGGAAACCGCGUACACGCGUGCACAAAACAGGCCAUUAAUGACUUUCGACUUGCGGACAGUUCGUUAAUCACGUCGACAGGUCUCUGACGGUCGGCGAUGCCUCGACAUGUCGGGCGUACCUAGAAAGUAAGCGUGAUAAUAUUCGACGUUAAGCGUGGAAUCGGCUUUAGACCGCCUCGUUCCACGGAUUAGCAUCCGUGUGUUAGCCACAACAAAAUUAGAGAUAGAGAGAAAGAGAGACACAUACGGUGUACAAUAUCCCCGACAUAAAACGUGAGUGUGGUACUUUCUGCGAGUGAGUGUGGUGUCGGGCGUGUCGUCCGCGCGCGCGACGAUCCGAGGUGAAACGUAAAAACAGAGACAGAGAGACAGAAAAAAGAAACAUUGUUUGCUCGACAGAAACAUAGAAAACGGAGCGGGAGACCACCGUGCCAGAGAUAGGAAACGCUGGUUAGAGAUUUCGAACGUUCACUGUACUCGUUGCAUAAAAAUUAAAGAAUUUAAUGAUCCGCGAUACGGAGAAAUGGUGUUUUUUUUUAUUUUCAAUGUAGCGAAAUUCAAGAAUUCAUACCAGAGUGUUAUUUGAGUAGUUUUGCCCAUCUCUGACAUCAGGCGAGUUGGCAAAGUUUAGGCGCCUGCUUUUCCUGGUUCUUAGAGGAAAUAGGGGAUGAAGAGUCGAGGAAGAAGAUUUUUGGGAAAAAGAGGAGGAAUCAACGUGUCCUCGUACCACCUAGGAAUGAAGAGAACUAUUCGAGGAGAUACCGAUGACUCCUGAGGAAUAAUUACGUCCUAGAGAGCCUUGGUCCCAUCGAAAGAUCCCUCCAUUUUCUACAAGAAAGCCAACUAAGAAAUUUAUAUGCAUAAACUACCCUAACGAAUUUUCCGAAAAUUCUACAAAUUUCUUCCCAUAGAUAAUUAACCAUGUAACAGAAAAACAAGCAUUUGUUUCACUUCUUCCCAUCUAUGAGAAUAUCUAUGGUCUUGACACACCCAAACGAGGAAAGCAUUUUUCCUUGCUCUGUUUUCUCCAGGUUUGAAAAGUAACAGAAACCACGGUCGACUUUCUUUGUCUCUGGCCGCAGGAAGUCCGAGAAGUGUCGGGAGCUCCUUCGAGCUGCAAUUAGAAAUUGGACAAGAAGACCCCGCUAGUUUUGCCAACUGAGAAAAGUUUCGAGGAGCGUUUCUUCGCGUAGCACUCAACGAGAGCCAAGAAGUGGCGUUAGGUCCGCCUGACGCUAUCGGAUGAGCUCGCGAGCAGGCUUUUUUCUUGGGGAAAAAAAAACAAUGUAGAGAAGUCGUUGAAGCUGAAUUCCCUGGAAAAGCUGAUUCGAUUUGUCUGAUAAAUUAGAAGAAGGAUUUCUGAGUUUGAAGCGUAGUACUGAGACGCACUGUGAAAGAAAGAGUUGAGGUUCAGAAACGCUCAGUUAUUUUCUAGGACGCUCUGAUAGCAUUAACGAGGAUUCAUCCACUGAUUCAUUCAAAGAUACACUUCCCAAGCAUCCAGCUACUCUUCCACUCGUCGAGAUCCCUUCACCGGGGACUUCCUGUUCGAAUUCGACCAAGACCAAUCUCCAGCAGAGUCCCGUCAGUCAUAAUCACUCUUCACGGAGACCCCCUGGGACCAAGCAUUCUUCUUCGAUGCUGUGAAACGCUUGCUUGGCUCGAUCCGCGAGCAAUCCCCUCGCGGGGAUUCCUGAAAGGACAGUGGAAGAGGCUACCAGCGCGGACAAAGAAACAAGCGCGAGGAAGAGCUCUGUGGAUCUCCUGAUCUGUCCACUUUGCAGCAACAGUGAAAGCACUCGAUCUCAUGGAAGGCGCAGACGGAGACGCGCAACACGUGAUCCAGGGCACAGGAACGAGAGGACAGUCUUGAUCUUCGUGGCCAUGAGGUAACAGAGCCUCGGAGAACAGCGAGAGGACGUGCAACCAUAUGGCAGGUGUAGUCACGGACACCAACAAUGGGAGCGAGUGUUUCUAUGCCCAACCCUUUCGCUGCGGACGUACGUGCACAGAGGAGGCUCCGAGGUCAACACUGCUGAGCUGGGAAACUAUUUGCGAAGGAUUUGCUAUCUCCCACAGGAGGAAUACGCUGAAUGUUCGAUAAGUGUCACGCAGGACGGUGUCGCGACACACUUAUUGAUUGAAGGUAGCGAAAUCGAAUCGUUCUUCUGUCUCCUCUGGGUGAGACGUUAACAAACAAUGCUUUGUACGCUUAAUCUUCCAAAGAAGUACCCACAUAAGCAACGACGAACUUCAUCGACAGGGGCUCAGUAAUCGUAAUAGUGCAUGAAACUAUUAAUUAAGCAUGUAAGCACGUUCCUUUGAACAAUUAGCAACGAGCGCGAGUAAAUUCGACUGCCGAAGGACGUGUUCCUUUACCCACGGUUCGUGACUUGAUCAAUUAGCGAAAGGGUUAAGAUCAUUCCGGUUGUGAAUCAUCGCGCAACCACGCCAAAGACUACGCUCGAGGACACGUUCAGGGUUGAGAGUGGUUGGCGGGAGAGACUGAACGUACAGACACAGGCGAUUAAGGCGAGGCAUAGACAGAGAAAGGUAAGAAGAAAGUGAACGUGAAAGACAGAGAGAUAGAGCAAAACAGACUGUAGUACAAAGUAUAUAAAGAGAAAGAAACAGACAGAUAAAAGAUACAGAGAGAAAGAGAGAGAGAGAGAGAGAGAGAGAGAAACCGUCGCUGUCGUUUUUUUUUCUUGGUUUAAAAAAAAAAAGUAAUAAUAAAAGAAGAAAAAAAACAGCACAGCGACCACGUAAAAUAUCGCCGCCUUAGGUAUUCUUGUAAUUAGAGACAAAGAAAAAUAAGACAUUAAGUAGUG